UCUCUUAUUAGAAGAGAACUUGUGAAGCGUGAAGGUGACUUUGCUUCCUAGUUGUUAUGUGUGCACAUGGUCCCCUCCUUCGACCCAUGUGCGUGCCGUGAGGUUCGCGAUCCCUCCUGUCGAUUCGUGUUCAGAGAAUGCCCCAGGCAGGACACUGAAAACCAGCCUCUGUGGUCAACAACACACUCAGAUAAGGAACCCAUUACUCACGAGUACCACCAACAUGAGGGCUGCAGGGAAAGAGUCUGUGACUUUAUUGGAACAGCAUGCUGCACUGUUUUAAUUGCAGCCUCUAUGAUAUCCGCUAGCACUGGGAAGAGGAGGCUUGCUGUGACUCCAUAGGGAGUGCCUCUGGAGGACUGGAACAAGCAUGCCGUUUAACCCUGCUCACACUCAGCAAACAGUAAAUGGAGGAGGACAGACACCCCUAUAUAACCCCAGGAUCUGCAGGAGCUGAUAAUCAACACCGAAUACACACACACCGCAGCCAAGGGGCCGUGUCGGCUCAGCUCAACAGAGAAUAGGAUUACUGGCCUCUAAGCAAAGAGCUGCUCUGCUUACACAGCUACAAACAGUGCCAGUGAGAGCCUGGAAUCCAUCUUUAUUACAGCUUCAACUCAAUAAUAAGAAAGAAAAUCUGAUAAUACUAAUAAAAACCACAUGGAGUUUAUUGUACUUCUGCUCCACUAUGAGAGACUGGUCUGAGGAAAGUAAUGUCAUAAGCUGUGAGUUAGUGGCAUUUAUCAUGGAUAUGGGAGCGUGCUGCAAGACUAGGGAAGCUGAUCAGUCAGCACACAUCUAAAGAGAUCCAUAUGGUAAAAGCCUGAAUCAGACUGCCACUGCAGCCAAAGAUAAAGUGAGACAUACACCUCCGCAGGAUAAAAGGAAUACAUGAUUUACAAUCCAGUCCAACCUCCGCGAUAUGGAAAGGAAAAUAAACGUCCCAGAGCUGCAGGAAAAGCCAAUUUUCUUCCAGGCUUUAGGAGAAUGACAGAAAGCAUCAUUUCUAAAUAAUCUAAGCAGUGGCCGCACUCAACUUUGAAGCAUUUUGAUGAACUGAAUCGAUCCCAAAGUGUUUCAUCCAGAUCAGGAGCUCUUACAAUGCGGGUCUUCACUAAACUACCACAUCUCAAGCGUACGAUUGUUAUUAUUGUUUCUAUACCUGCUCAAUCAAACACAUAUGUGCUCACUCACAUGGGUCAGAAAUGGCUGCUUGGUUACAGAUCAGCAGUGACUCAUUGUCUUUGCCUUUCUAUCAUAAAGAAACAUGUAUACUGAAGUGCAGUGUAGAGCAAA